rnacentral:rRNA from 1 species
UACAGAGGUCUCAAGCGUUUGUUCGGAUUCAUUGGGCGUAAAGGGUGCGUAGGUGGCGCCAUAAGUCGGGUGUGAAAUCUCGGGGCUUAACUCCGAAACUGCAUUCGAUACUGUGGUGCUUGAGGACUGGAGAGGAGACUGGAAUUCAUGGUGUAGCAGUGAAAUGCGUAGAGAUCAUGAGGGAAGACCAGUGGCGAAGGCAGCUCGCUGGGACGUUACUGACGCUGGAGACGCGAAAGCGUGGGGGAGCAAACAGG